AUUGCGGCAGCCUACCAUGCAGUCGAGCGGUAGCACAGAGAGCUUGCUCUCGGGUGACGAGCGGCGGACGGGUGAGUAAUGUCUGGGAAACUGCCUGAUGGAGGGGGAUAACUACUGGAAACGGUAGCUAAUACCGCAUAAUGUCGCAAGACCAAAGUGGGGGACCUUCGGGCCUCAUGCCAUCAGAUGUGCCCAGAUGGGAUUAGCUAGUAGGUGGGGUAACGGCUCACCUAGGCGACGAUCCCUAGCUGGUCUGAGAGGAUGACCAGCCACACUGGAACUGAGACACGGUCCAGACUCCUACGGGAGGCAGCAGUGGGGAAUAUUGCACAAUGGGCGCAAGCCUGAUGCAGCCAUGCCGCGUGUGUGAAGAAGGCCUUCGGGUUGUAAAGCACUUUCAGCGGGGAGGAAGGCGGUGAGGUUAAUAACCUUGUCGAUUGACGUUACCCGCAGAAGAAGCACCGGCUAACUCCGUGCCAGCAGCCGCGGUAAUACGGAGGGUGCAAGCGUUAAUCGGAAUUACUGGGCGUAAAGCGCACGCAGGCGGUCUGUCAAGUCGGAUGUGAAAUCCCCGGGCUCAACCUGGGAACUGCAUUCGAAACUGGCAGGCUAGAGUCUUGUAGAGGGGGGUAGAAUUCCAGGUGUAGCGGUGAAAUGCGUAGAGAUCUGGAGGAAUACCGGUGGCGAAGGCGGCCCCCUGGACAAAGACUGACGCUCAGGUGCGAAAGCGUGGGGAGCAAACAGGAUUAGAUACCCUGGUAGUCCACGCCGUAAACGAUGUCGAUUUGGAGGUUGUGCCCUUGAGGCGUGGCUUCCGGAGCUAACGCGUUAAAUCGACCGCCUGGGGAGUACGGCCGCAAGGUUAAAACUCAAAUGAAUUGACGGGGGCCCGCACAAGCGGUGGAGCAUGUGGUUUAAUUCGAUGCAACGCGAAGAACCUUACCUGGUCUUGACAUCCACAGAACUUUCCAGAGAUGGAUUGGUGCCUUCGGGAACUGUGAGACAGGUGCUGCAUGGCUGUCGUCAGCUCGUGUUGUGAAAUGUUGGGUUAAGUCCCGCAACGAGCGCAACCCUUAUCCUUUGUUGCCAGCGGUUAGGCCGGGAACUCAAAGGAGACUGCCAGUGAUAAACUGGAGGAAGGUGGGGAUGACGUCAAGUCAUCAUGGCCCUUACGACCAGGGCUACACACGUGCUACAAUGGCAUAUACAAAGAGAAGCGACCUCGCGAGAGCAAGCGGACCUCAUAAAGUAUGUCGUAGUCCGGAUUGGAGUCUGCAACUCGACUCCAUGAAGUCGGAAUCGCUAGUAAUCGUAGAUCAGAAUGCUACGGUGAAUACGUUCCCGGGCCUUGUACACACCGCCCGUCACACCAUGGGAGUGGGUUGCAAAAGAAGUAGGUAGCUUAACCUUCGGGAGGGCGCUACCACUUUGGAUUACGUGGU
rnacentral:rRNA from 1 species